rnacentral:rRNA from 1 species
ACUAAAUAGAUACCCGGGUAGUCCACGCCCUAAACGAUGUCUACUAGUUGUUGGUGGAGUAAAAUCCAUGAGUAAACGCAGCUAAACGCGUGAAGUAGACCGCCUGGGGAGUACGGUCGCAAGAUUAAAACUCAAAGGAAUUGACGGGGGCCCGCACAAGCGGUGGAUUAUGUGGAUUAAUUCGAUGCAACGCGAAAAACCUUACCUGGCCUUGACAUGCCACUAACGAAGCAGAGAUGCAUUAGGUGCCCGUAAGGGAAAGUGGACACAGGUGCUGCAUGGCUGUCGUCAGCUUGUGUCGUGAGAUGUUGGGUUAAGUCCCGCAACGAGCGCAACCCUUGCCAUUAAUUGCCAUCAUUUAGUUGGGCACUUUAAUGGGACUGCCGGUGACAAACCGGAGGAAGGUGGGGAUGACGUCAAGUCCUCAUGGCCCUUAUGGCCAGGGCUUCACACGUAAUACAAUGGUCGGUACAGAGAGUUGCCAACCCGCGAGGGGAGCUAAUCUCAGAAAGCCGAUCGUAGUCCGGAUUGUUCUCUGCAAC